rnacentral:rRNA from 1 species
UACGUAGGGUGCGAGCGUUAAUCGGAAUUAUUGGGCGUAAAGCGCGCGCAGGCGGUUCUUUAAGUCUGAUGUGAAAGCCCACGGCUCAACCGUGGAGGGUCAUUGGAAACUGGGGAACUUGAGUACAGAAGAGGAAAGCGGAAUUCCACGUGUAGCGGUGAAAUGCGUAGAGAUGUGGAGGAACACCAGUGGCGAAGGCGGCUUUCUGGUCUGUAACUGACGCUGAGGCGCGAAAGCGUGGGGAGCAAACAGG